rnacentral:rRNA from 1 species
UGCGUAGGUGGUCUUUCAAGUCAGAAGUGAAAGGCAUUGGCUCAACCAAUGUAAGCUUUUGAAACUGAAAGACUUGAGUGCAGGAGAGGUAAGUGGAAUUCCUAGUGUAGCGGUGAAAUGCGUAGAUAUUAGGAGGAACACCAGUGGCGAAGGCGACUUACUGGACUGUUACUGACACUGAGGCACGAAAGCGUGGGGAGCGAACAGGAUUAGAUACCCUGGUAGUCC